rnacentral:lncRNA from 1 species
GAAGCCUAUUGGUGACAGUAGAUCAGAGAAAGAUUCAGGACAUGGUGAGGACAGUGUAGUGAAUGAUGGGGUUCAAGAAGGAAAAAUUAAUAAAAAGCAUAAAGCUAACAAGAAGCAGAAGCACAAUCCUGCUAGUGACGAAGCAGAAGUCUCUUUAAGAGAUAACGGUGAAGGGAAGACAAAAGGCCCAAAGAGAAACAGAAAGGAUCGCCCGGACCGUCAGAAGCCUGAUGUUGAAACUUCAACCAAAGGUAAUGAUGCACGUAAAUCAAAUUCUUCUGAACAAGCACAUUUUCGGUCACAAAAGAGGAAGCUGGGAUACCAAACUGAAGGACUGGUGGGUGAUAAAUCAAUGAAAAGAAAAAGGCCAAAAAAGAACAAAGACACAGCGGGUAGAGAAGCAGUAGACAAACUUGACGUGCUGAUCGAAAAGUACAGAGCCAAAUUCUCACAGCAGGGUUCUAACAAACCUGACGGUGACAAGCAAGGUUCAAAACAACUCCGAAGAUGGUUCCAGUCGUAAGCUUUUGUUACAAGUUUUAAGGCAUUUCAUCACAGUUUCUUCUAUAGAGCUGAUGAGGCAAUCCUUUAAAAUGUAGAUCUACUUGCUACAAGUUUUGUGCAAUUUUAGAUUGAAAAUUCUGAAAAGAGGAAGCUGGGAUACCAAACUGAAGGACUGGUGGGUGAUAAAUCAAUGAAAAGAAAAAGGCCAAAAAAGAACAAAGACACAGCGGGUAGAGAAGCAGUAGACAAACUUGACGUGCUGAUCGAAAAGUACAGAGCCAAAUUCUCACAGCAGGGUUCUAACAAACCUGACGGUGACAAGCAAGGUUCAAAACAACUCCGAAGAUGGUUCCAGUCGUAAGCUUUUGUUACAAGUUUUAAGGCAUUUCAUCACAGUUUCUUCUAUAGAGCUGAUGAGGCAAUCCUUUAAAAUGUAGAUCUACUUGCUACAAGUUUUGUGCAAUUUUAGAUUGAAAAUUCUGGCUAAAAAAAAAAAAAAAAAAAAAAAAAAGAUCGAAAAUUUUGUGGUCGUUGAAUCCUACUGCCUUUCAUAAGUUGAAUUUUGCUAUCAGUUGAGAAAUUCAUAGGACAUUUGCAACUUAUCAGAUGUGGAAUUAGGUCUCGUACAACUGUUUUCAUGUACACUUUGGUUUGUGCAUCCAUUCACCAGAUUCCCUUCUAAAUAUUUGAAAGCAAACGCGGUCCCUUUUUGACCCAGAUACAUAAAGCAGAACUGCCCCGUUUUUCCACCCAGAUUUUUCAUUUUUUUGUUUGUUUCUUUAAAGUUUGAUUGAUACAAACUUAAAAACUCUUUUCUGAAAAUAAACCAAUUUCUAAAAUUAAUUAAAAAGAUAACUCAAACGCAACAAAUCCUUCCAGCUUCUAGUAUUAAAUUAGUUAUACGGCAAGAAAUACUAUAAUUGACAGCUUGAUCAUUAACUUGUCACAAAAGGGGGCAGGUGAUAUUUGCUGAGUGUGACUUUGAUGCUAUCAGUUUGUUACAAAAUUACGCAGUACUUAUCCAUUAAGACAAAUAAGUAAGAAGAUCAACAUCACUAUUAAGACUUGUGUUGUUGGAUCUAAGCACAAUUUUAGAAUGCAUAUUUCUUUUUCAUGGGCUUGCAAAUUUACGAUAAGAUGGUUACUAUCACGAAAGUGGAUGAACCCAUGUUAUAAAAAUCCUCACAUGCAUUAUACAUAACCUUUCAAGUACGGAUAGUGUAUUUUUACAUUUUCUGCUUGUUUAAUUGGAUGAGCAUGCAUUUAAUAUGGAGGUUAAUGGAUUUAUUUUUAUUAAAAAAAAGGCACUAUUUUUGUUUUUAAUAUAACAAAUAACAAUAAAAGGCCACAUUAGUUGAAAAGAGAGCACAUACUAUUUAUGUAUCAUAUAACUCAAUAGAUUGUGACUGGAUUAUCUUCGUCUUUUCUGAUGCAUAGAUAUUUGCCUUUUUUUUUUUUAUCUUAAUCUCAAUUUUCAUAAUUUCUCUUGUCACUUUAAAAUACUAAAGUAAUAUUUACCUUCUCUUUCACCCAAACCAAAUUCACGAAAAACUUAUGUAGAACAAGCUUGUCACGUCAUCAGAUUGCCCAGUCAGCCAGUCUAUCACAUAAAGAGAGAGAAUUUCUUAUUGACAAUUGGCGGGGGGUGAUUGGAAUAUCCCAUUACAAUCGUCCCAGCCAACUUUUUAUCCUCACACACACAUCAAAAAUUG